GGAAGACUUGUCCAAAUAAGGCAUGUGAAGAGUGAAAACUGGCCUGCGAGGGUCAACUGCACAGAAAGACCAGUGUUGCACAACAAAAACAGAAAAAGUAUUGAAGGCUGUAAUUUAGGGAAAAUCAUUAUCAGCAUUACUCUGCAGCUAUGGUGACAAGUGGCCUUGGACCGGUCAGAGUGCCCACAAUGACCCAUCUGCUACCAAGAAUAUCUACAGAAGACAUUUGGAUUUGGCUUGUGACUGACAGUGACAGUGCUCUUCAUCCUGCCUGCUGUUUACCUUCUUCCACCACUAAGGGCGCUGGAGCCGGAUCCUGAGUUCCUGACAGGUGCACAUCAUUGCCUCAUCAGCUGGAGGACUAUAUGAAGGCGGCUCCCCAGCACUUCUACGCCUGAGUGUUUUGACCACUGCGGUCUGUAAGCCGAGCUCCAUGCUGGAGAUCCUCUUCGAACCAUCUACAACUAAUCUGGAUUUUUUCCCUGGAUCACAUUUUGCCGGGCAGCCGCUCUUGUGUGCCCUCCAGUCUGAUCGUGUUCGACCUGCCCGCUCUCCCACGAGACCCCUCUGGACCAUCAGACCACGUUGCCUACCUGCGCAGCAGUACAGCCCCAGACUCGCAUCUCUCUCCCCUGGGUGGAUCCAUCCCACCUGAAAAGUGAACUAAGCUUUUGUAUUGUUUUUUUUUCCCUACCCUGGCCACCACUCACCAUCUGCCGUUUCCUUUUCAG